AAACUGAGCGCCCCACCCACCCCUGACCUUCCCAGGCCCCUCCUCUAGCCCCGCCUCUUCCCGAGAUGGGACCCCCAAACACUCCCCAGGGGGCUCUCUACACACCCCAGGAGUUCUAUUUGUGCCACCAGAGUGCAAGCUCACCCAACUGGUGACUUUUUUCGAACUCCCUUCCUCGCCUGGAAGAGACCUUCUUUGGCUACCCGCCCCUUGCCCGGUGGCUCCUACGUGGCUACUUUGCAGGAUGGGCUGUAUAAAGGGCUGGAGGCAGUUCAACCCAAACCAGAGACGUGGCGUCUGCUAGGCCUGCCUAAGCUCCAGUACCUGACUAAAGUCCAGAGAAUGGAGCAGGGAGGAGCUGAAGAGAGCGUGGCUGGGAGACAUGAAGACAGAGCUGUGGACCACAGUUGGCUUUCCUGGGAACACUCCCUAACUGUGGUCUAUAAGAUGUAACAAGACUAUUACUCAAUUAUUACAAAGAAGAAAAAAAAAACCAGUGCUGGCCUCUUUACAUUGUGUUUUCCUGUAGAUGAGCCUGGCAUAUGUUACAGUAACCAUUCCAUAGUUUAUUUUCCCCUCUGGUUCCCACGAUUGUCUGACCCUGCCCAUUUUACCACGCCUUUACACUGGCACAGAGAAAGGAAGUUUGAUGUCUCUGUAGCAUUGCUCGGUGCUGCUUCGGUUUUAUGUACUCUGUAGUACUCAGAAGACCCACAGUUUCAGUUACAGGUUACACCAUGAUGUCUAUCAUGGAUGUUGUCACAGAGGACGGCUUUUAAACUAGAGGGGAUGCAGAUUGCACAGACUUUCAGUGCCUCCUGUGGUCUCUCAGGAUUCACCAAAGCCCCUUUAAGGUUGUUCCUUUGCCCCCCCCCGCCCCCCAACAAAGCUCUCUGGUCUUAAAUGCCCUCUUCCUGAGUGGUGUUAAGGAGACUAGAUGUGUUUUAAAAGAACACUGUAGGAGCUUAGACUCUCACAUCUCACACCCACAAGAAGGAGCACAAUUGGAUAUGAUACAAAGUGCAGGUUCUCCAUCCUUAAGGUAAAUUUCUAGGCUGCUAGGAUGUGUGAAAGAGCCUCAAGCAUGGCCCUCUCUACAGACUAAUGUCUUAUUUAGGGUCUGGCUUGGCUUCCCAGGGCUGAUCAGAGAAAUGUGACAAUGGACUCUGUCCCUGGUUAUUCCUGAUGGUUGACAUAGACUGAUCUACCUUCACCCACCCCAAGUGAGUUCUGCUUUUCUGUGACCUUUGAAAUUCAACCCACACUAAGAAUGGCAUUCUUUCACUUCAAGGCCACAUCCAAAGAAGGAGCUCAGUUAAGUGUCCAGGCCUCAGCAGUAAAUAUCUGCAGGAUGUACCCAGACACACACUCUAGAAGAUGAGCCUGUGCUCUGUAACAGGGUGGGGUUCACUUUCUAAAGUUUUCUUCUUCCUUGACAUGGUCAGUGACUCUUCAAGCUUCCAUCGGGAUGUCAUAUUUUACUUAACCUGCAUUUCCAGAAAUUAAAGCAUUCUAGAAAUCUACAA
rnacentral:lncRNA from 1 species